GAUGAACGCUGGCGGCGUGCCUAAUACAUGCAAGUCGAGCGAACAGACGAGGAGCUUGCUCCUCUGACGUUAGCGGCGGACGGGUGAGUAACACGUGGAUAACCUACCUAUCAGACUGGGAUAACUUCGGGAAACCGGAGCUAAUACCGGAUAAUAUAUUGAACCGCAUGGUUCAAUAGUGAAAGACGGUUUUGCUGUCUCUUAUAGAUGGAUCCGCGCCGCAUUAGCUAGUUGGUAAGGUAACGGCUUACCAAGGCAACGAGGCGUAACCGACCGGAGAGGGUGAUCGGCCACACUGGAACGGGGACACGGUCCAGACUCCUACGGGAGGCAGCAGUAGGGAAUCGUCCGCAAUGGGCGAAAGCCUGACGGAGCAACGCCGCGUGAGUGAUGAAGGUCUUCGGAUCGUAAAACUCUGUUAUUAGGGAAGAACAAAUGUGUAAGUAACUAUGCACGUCUUGACGGUACCUAAUCAGAAAGCCACGGCUAACUACGUG
rnacentral:rRNA from 1 species